rnacentral:rRNA from 1 species
GCAACCCUUGUCAUUAGUUGCCAUCAUUUGGUUGGGCACUCUAAUGAGGCUGCCGGUGACAAACCGGAGGAAGGUGGGGAUGACGUCAAGUCCUCAUGGCCCUUAUGGGUAGGGCUUCACACGUCAUACAAUGGUCGGUACAGAGGGUUGCCAACCCGCGAGGGGGAGCUAAUCCCACAAAGCCGAUCGUAGUCCGGAUCGCAGUCUGCAACUCGACUGCGUGAAGUCGGAAUCGCUAGUAAUCGUGGAUCAGCAUGUCCACGGUCCGAAUACGUUCCCGGGUCCUU